CUCUGUGACUCCUACGGGAGGCAGCAGUGGGGAAUAUUGCACAAUGGGCGCAAGCCUGAUGCUGCCAUGCCGCGUGUGUGAAGAAGGCCUUCGGGUUGUAAAGCACUUUCAGUUGUGAGGAAGGUGGUGUCGUUAAUAGCGGCAUCAUUUGACGUUAGCAACAGAAGAAGCACCGGCUAACUCCGUGCCAGCAGCCGCGGUAAUACGGAGGGUGCGAGGGUUAAUCGGAAUUACUGGGCGUAAAGCGCAUGCAGGUGGUUUGUUAAGUCAGAUGUGAAAGCCCGGGGCUUAACCUCGGAAUUGCAUUUGAAACUGGCAGGCUAGAGUCUUGUAGAGGGGGUAGAAUUUCAGGUGUAGCGGUGAAAUGCGUAGAGAUCUGAAGGAAUACCAGUGGCGAAGGCGGCCCCCUGGACAAAGACUGACGCUCAGAUGCGAAAGCGUGGGGAGCAAACAGGAUUAGAUACCCUGGUAG
rnacentral:rRNA from 1 species